AACCUUUGUUAAGGAACUCGGCAAAAUGUCCCCGUAAGUUAGCGAGAAGGGGAGCCUGAGCGAUCAGGCCACAGAAACCAGGCCCAAGCGACUGUUUACCAAAAACACAAGUUUCUGCAAAAUCGAAAGAUGACGUAUAGGAGCUGACACCUGCCCGGUGCUGGAAGGUUAAGGGGAAGGCUUAGAGCAAUCGAAGGCUAGAACUUAAGCCCCAGUAAACGGCGGCCGUAACUAUAACGGUCCUAAGGUAGCGAAAUUCCUUGUCGGGUAAGUUCCGACCCGCACGAAAGGUGUAACGAUUUGGGCACUGUCUCAACAAAGGAUCCGGUGAAAUUGUAGUAGUCGUGAAGAUGCGACUUACCCACGCUAGGACGGAAAGACCCCGUGGAGCUUUACUGUAGGCUGAUAUUGGAUUUUGAGAUUAGACGUACAGGAUAGUUGGGAGACAAUGAAGUGUGUACGCCAGUAUACACAGAGUCACCCUUGGGAUACCAACCCUCUAAUAUCAAAAUUCUAACAUUGACCCAUGAAUCUGGGCAAUGGACAUUGUCAGUUUGGCAGUUUGACUGGGGCGGUCGCCUCCCAAAAAGUAACGGAGGCGUUCAAAGGUUCGCUCAGAAUGGACGGAAACCAUUCGCAGAGUACAAAGGCACAAGCGAGCUUAACUGCGAGAUAUACAGAUCAAGCAGAGUAGAAAUACGGACUUAGUGAUCCGGUGGCACCGCAUGGAAGGGCCAUCGCUCAACGGAUAAAAGCUACCCCGGGGAUAACAGGCUUAUCUCCCCCAAGAGUCCACAUCGACGGGGAGGUUUGGCACCUCGAUGUCGGCUCAUCGCAUCCUGGGGCUGAAGCAGGUCCCAAGGGUAUGGCUGUUCGCCAUUUAAAGCGGUACGCGAGCUGGGUUCAGAACGUCGUGAGACAGUUCGGUCCCUAUCUGCCGUGGGCGUAGGAAGGUUGAGGAGAGCUGACCCUAGUACGAGAGGACCGGGUUGGACGAGCCACUGGUGUACCAGUUGUUCUGCCAAGAGCAGUGCUGGGUAGCCAAGCUCGGAAGGGAUAACCGCUGAAAGCAUCUAAGCGGGAAGCCCACUCCAAGAUGAGCCUUCCCUUGAGGGUGCAGGAAGACUACCUGCUUGAUAGGCUGGGGGUGUAAGCCCUGUGAGGGGUUGAGCUGACCAGUACUAAUAACCCGAAUGGCUUCUGCGA
rnacentral:rRNA from 1 species